GGAUCAUGCUUUCUGCUGUAGCAGCAGAACCUGAUCAAGCAUCAUUCCAUUGAGGAAGAUAUGAUGUCAAUGAAUUCAACUCUUCAAGCACACGAAAAUAAGAUGACGAUGAAACUCUUUUCAAUUGAGGAAGAAAUGACGUCACUGAAUUCAACCCUGAAAGCACAGGAGAAAAAGACCAAGGAACAUUUCCGCAACAUGAGGAAACAUUCUGCUGAAAGGUUUGCGUCACUCAAUACUACUCUGGAGGAAGAAGGUUUUAAG